UCAUAUUGUUGUUGUUUUUUAUCUCCGGUCUAGACAGGCUAGACUUAGAUUUAGUAUCUUCAUACGGUAUAUGUAUUUUAUACAUCACCUAAUUACAAUUUUAACAACCAAUAGAUAGAUCUAUAGAUUUUUAGUUAUCCGGUCUUAAUAGAAGAUCGUUACGGUUUUCAUUCAUACAUGCCAUUGUAUGUGUAUUUGUUUGAUAGAACUACACAUAUUUAUAAGAACUGAUCGUUACAAAAUAUAUUGGCAAACAAGGUUAAAAUUUGUCUUUGGAAAAAUCGUCCCGACGUGGUCAGAAAGAGUUAUCCCCCUUGGCCGGCAUAGCGAUCGGUUUUCGAUCAAACAUUUAUCGGUUAGAUCUUGCUUUUUGUUUAUCUGUUCUUACUUGUUCGUUGGUCAUAAUGUUAUCUAGUCUUUGUGCAAACAUAAUUUACAGUCUACAACCAUUCACUAUGGUACUUUUUAUUUUCAGAUACUGAGAUGGAGAACGUCAACGUGCCGCUGACCCUGCACAUGACGCAUGUUUGUAUUCUAUGGUAUCCAAGUGGGCUGUGUCCUGCCACAUUCAGGAAAUUUGAGGUGCAACCCUUGUAGGAAAUCAGGUUUCACUGUCCAGUUACACAAAGCCUGGUGUAAAUAGCUUGUUUGGUCCAGUUGCACCCAACAAAGGUAACAUUGAUAUCCUCGAAACGUAGGAUUCAUGUCUGCAUGUCUUUAAACAAACUGGUUGUAAUAUAGCAUAGACUAUUUAUCCAGAUAAGACAAAUAUACAAAAUAAAACAAAAUACUUUUUGAAUACAAACAACAUGGCCUGCUUGUCUGGUGUUUGUCAUCCUGACACAACUAUUAGCUCACCAAGGUGAGCUUAUGCCAUACCAUGGGGUCCAUCGUCCGUAUGUCAACAAUUUUUUCAAAAAACUUCUUCUUUUGACCACAAAUUGACAAUUAACAAAAUUUGACUGGAAGCAUCCCUAGGUGGUGAGGAUUCAAAAUUGUACAAAUGGUGGGGCUGACCCCCCAAAGGGUUGGGUGGCAGGGUCAAAUGGGGAUAAUUUGGCUAUAUUGCUUUAAGCGACAUCUUCUCUGGAACUAAGAGAUAGGUAUCAACCAUAUAUUGUUGGAAGCAUUCUCCGGUGGUGAGAAGUCAAAAUUGUACAAAUGGUGGGGUGACCCCCUGCAAGGAGCUGAGGGGCGGGCCCAAAUAAGAGUAAUUUGGCUAUAUUGCUUUAAACGACUUCUUUAUUGGAACUAAGAGAUAGAUAUCAACCAUAUUUGGUUGGAAGCAUUCUCCAAUGCUUGGGAUUAAAAAUUGUACAAAUGGAGAGGGCUGACCCCCCAAGGGUCGGGGCCAAAUAAGAGUAAUUUGGCUAUAUUGGUUUAAACGACUUUCUCUCUGGAACUAAGAGAUAGAUAUCAACCAUAUUUGGUUGGAAUCAAUUCUCCAAUGGUGGGGAUUCAAAUUGGAGAAAUGGAGGGGCUGAAAUUGCUUCUUGAAAAACAAUUAAGAAUGAAAAUAAAAAAAGAGAAACUACACUCUCCAGGAAGCUGAAACUUAACUUUGUAGAAAUGAUGAUGAUAACUUGUAGCUUACACAAAGCAAUGGUUCAAAUAAGCUUAUGUCAUGGCUGUGUUCAUUUAUACUAAUGGAAAAAAGUAACUGCUGUGUAUUAAGUAGUGUAAAUGUUAUGUUAUUGUAAAUAACAACAUAAUAUUUGGUCUUUUGUCUCAUCAUUGUCAUAUCAUAACAAAUUCAUUGACAAAAUCCAUUCCUGGUAAUUGGAGACGGAGAGACACGCCCCCAAAGAGGGGUGCAACUUGUAGGCGGGCACUAUCCUGCUGCAACAUGACGUUACGUCCCUGCAUGUGCACAAAGGCAAGAACAUUAUCUCAAACGAUGUCCUCAUAACAAUGAUGAGUUGUGUUCUCCCAUGAGUUGUGAUGCCACCCCAUACCAUUACACUUCCACCCCAAAACUGAUGAUGAUAAGUAAUGCAAGAGUUGCUAAAACAUGUAUGCAUAUAUGACAUGUAGACCUUUGCACAACCAUCAGAGCUCUUCAGAUGAAACCCUCACUCAUCUGUGAACAGUGUACUGUCCCUGUUUUUCUUCUGAACCUCAGAUGCUGUCUACACCAAGUGUGACUGAUAGUGCUGUGUAAGCAAAAUUAGGCAUAUUGCUGAAUAUUGGGACCCGAUGUUGUGCUCUCUCAACCGGGCAACUACUAUGCUGUAAUGAAACUUGAUGGUAUCAGUUUCCACCAACGCUAAACUACAUAUACAGCUCCCAAUACAGUGUGCUUUGAGAAGGGAGAGCAACUAUGCCCUGUACGUUUCUGGAAAGAAGAAGUGUUGAGAAGAAGAGUUCUGUGUUGAAGUCAGCAUUGACAUCCUGAGUAGUGAAAAGAUCAGCAGGUAGUAGCAUCAGUUCGCUACUGUGUGGAGGGACAGUGUUUCUCCCUAUACUCAUGGACAGUACUGUACAUCUAAACAUAUGAUUCAUAUCAUAUAUUGUUUCAUAAUGUGAGGUGUGGCGUUUUUCAUUCAUAAUAUCAAUUAUCAUAUAUGGCGAAUUUAGCAUCUUACAAAUAUACUGUGCAUGGAAUUUCUUCACUUACACUGUUUUCAGCAUUUUGAGGCAAAACUCUUUUCAUGUGUUACAUUUAUGUUUAUUGUUUCCUCAACAAUAAAGAACUAGCAAAAUGA